AACAAGCUCUCUCUCUCUACACAAGGAGGUCAGCCAUAGCAAGGGAAAGGCUCCUAGCACUCUCCUCUCUCUUAUUAUAUCAUCCUUCCAAGGACAGCUUUGGUAUGGUAAAGUUGGAGGUUGCACACUUUGUGCACUUUGGUAAGAACUCAUCCAAGGGAGCCAAGAUUUUGAACUCAAGCAUCCUUGCUUGAGAUUGGUCUUCAAGGGUAUGUACAUCUUUCCCCUCCUUCUUACAUUUAUAAAAUAUGGAGUCUUGAGUGUACCAACACUUAGAAUCAAAAGAUCCAUGGAAUAGGUUUAGGUUAAAGCUCUAAAAUCAAUCAUUUGCUUCUGUUGCUUCUCUUCAAUUUUUUUGUGUUUCAGUGGCUUAACCAACGUAAAAAAAUUUAGAGCAUUCUUCAUCUAGUGCAUUAUAUGUUUUUGGACCCUACCUGCACAACUUUGUUCUUGGUCCCUCAAGCCCAAAAUGCAUCUUACUAAGGGAGAUGAACUCUGCACAUAUAAAGCAUUUAACUUGCCCCCACCCAAGCGAUGUGGGACUAUGGAACCACUCAUGGUUGUCACAAUCCACCCCCUUGGAGGCUUGACGUCUUUAUCGACACAUUUUCAGUUCGGUUCAUCUUUGAUACCAAAUUGUCAUAGUCCACUCUCUUAGUAAGAUAUUGUCCACUUUAGGCCCCUUCAACAUAGAUUUGUUCUUGGGCCCUCAAGCCCAAAACUUAUCUUACUAAGGGAGAUGAACUCUACACAUGUAAGGCACUUUACUUUCCCUCACCCAAGUGAUGUGGGACUAUGGCACCACUCCUGGUUGUCACAGCAAGGCCUUGGCUUGCUUCAACCAUGAAGCUAUUGAAGAAUCGUGCACAUGAUCUCAAUGUAUUUAUAUAAUAUAAUAUCAAAAUUGAUCCCUUUUUUCGAUUCAACCCAUAUCGUCUUGGUCACUCCUUCUAGCCACAUCUCAAACUUCAAGCCCGGCCUUAGGCUUGAUCAUCUAUCAAGUCACAUAAUGUUCCUUUGGGCGGAUGUAGCCCAAUCUCAAACAUGUCCAUUAAUUCCAUUGUUGUAUCCCCCACAACUUCCACAUGCAAAGAAGUCAUAUUCAAUUUUCCUUUUUUUCUUUUCAUUUUUCAUUUGUUUUUUGGGUUUUUGACUAUUGGGUAUUUUAAUUUUAAUUUUUUUAGUUUAAAAUUUUUAAAUCAUUUUACAAUAUUUUAUUUUAAUUUUUAAUUACCUUGUUAAUAUUUUAAUUCAAAUUGAUGAUUAUAGCCCUCAAAUUAAUGGUAAUAUUGACGAAAUUUAACGGUGGAACAAUUUAGCAUGAAAGAGAGAAUUUUAGUAUCAUUGGCGUUGAAAAAUUAGUUUGAGGACCAAAGUGGAAAUCAGACAGAAGUUUUAAGGACUAUUUCAAUUAAAAACCUUUUUUUUUUAAUUUUUUUUUUGAGAAGGAGAAUUCAUUCAUAAAACCACAGACGUACAAAAAACGACGUGAUAUAGUGGCCUCGUAAAAACCUUCCUAGGACAACCUUAUGGGACAAACCUCAGGGGAGGAAAGAGUACCACAGAUGUCCUGGACUAACAAGAUAGUCCAAUUCAGGUCACUUUGGACCAUUACAAUAAAAGAACAAGUCAGAAACAAAAACUAACACAAAUACCUCCGAUGAAAACCGCAACUAGAGACCAAUACAGUAGACCCACAUGAGAGGACCUCAGAAAUCCCAAAUAGUAAACCCACAGGAGAGGGCCACAGAACAUCCCAGUUGUCAAAAGAAGCCUUCUGUGAGCAAAAUCAUAGUCAUUUGACACCCAUACAAACGGUAAGGCAUACCAUAGCAGAAACCAGGAGAAAACACGAAGGAGGAACACAGAAACAACAGUAAAAAGAUCCCUGAGAAGCACUCCACUUCAACUCAGAACCUGACAAAGAAAACCUCCUAUGACCAAGCAUAGUUCUUCAGUCGGCGCAAAGUAAAGAAAAGCACCACAUCCCAACAACUACCACCAGCGUCGCUGCUGCCGUCUUUGUUAAACUAGAGACAACACAUCAGCUACCAGGUAUCACAACUCUCCCAAGGACAGACAUAAUGCGAGUCACUACUGUCAUCGCCGUUGAGACAAAGACAGCAUCAGUCACCUAGAACACUGCAAAACCAACCAAACGAAACAAACAGACAAACAUACCUAGAUCUAAACAGAUCUAGACUAUCUGGGGAGGGGAAGGGGAGAAGAAUAGGGGAUAAGAGGAAGGGAAAAUAUGGGAGAAAAAGAAAGGAAGAUAAGGAAAGGAAGGGGAAGAUGGGCAGAGAGGAGGAGGGGCAGUGGCCACCUCCCCCCCUUAGCUUCCUUGUGGUUGGUUGUCAGCAAGAAGAAAGGGGACCAGAGUGCGGCUAGACCCUUAUUGUUAUUAUGUUUUUAAUACAAGCAAUAUUGGAAGAAAAUAAUUUGAACAUAGGUCUUUAGGUGUACGAGUAAUUUCUCUUAACAAUUUUAAACAAAAUAUUUAAAGAAAAGCAAUUUUUGCUUUGAAGCAAUAAUGGAAGCACUUAACAAGCUCUAUAUCAACGCCAACGGGGUCAAGCGAGCCUUGACUUACAGGUUAGUGGUCUCAAGUUUGAACAGCAUUUCAACCCCACGGCACCUUGGUAAUGUGUGAGAAACUCUCUUCCCUUCCUAACUUUGGCAAAAAAAGAAAAAAAAAACAUGUCUAUUAACAAUAUAUGGAGUAAAAGGAUUACAAUUAAAAGAGGAAAAAAAACAUUGUGCAACAAGAAAUGGAAAAUUUGACACGGUUUCUUCUCUCUCUCUCUCUUGCUGAGGUAUUAGUGAUUUUGUUUCUAGAAAAGACUAGGACAAGAAAUAAAAGUAGCGAGUUACUCAACUCACAAGUAAUUGCACAAUCCACAUAGAAUUAGGAAAAGAAAAACAGAAACCUAUAAGUACCAACUAAAACCAUCACAAACCCUUGCUCUCCCUAAAUAAUCAUCACACACAACUCACCUUUCUCUCUCAAUCGCCUCUCGCCUCUCUCUCUCUCUCUCUCUCUCUCUCUCUCUCUCUCUCUCUCUGUAAUAGAAUGAAAUCAAGUUCAAGCAAAGCCUAAGAGGAAAGGAACUUCCACAAAGUGCAAAGUGCAAAAUGCCAGAGAAAAGUUUCAAGGAUCCUAAGGAGGACAUAAAUUUAAUAGAGACUAGUAUAUUUGAAACGGCGUUCCUACUGUGCCAAAGAGUUAGGGAAACUUCGGUGAUGAUGCGGACAAGUUUUCAGAAUUCCUGGCGCAACGGCACAUGUGUAGCCAACAGAGAGUCAAUUUGACCAAGUUUUUAAACUUGGUGGACGACUCUGUUCGAGCAGAGAACGCCUUGUGAACGAUCAUGAGGAUUUCUUGGAGAACUGCGGAAGGGCACAGAGCCAUUGGUGGCGCAAGCGUAAAUAUUUGAAUUGAAGUUGGACGAUUUUUUGAAAAAGUUUAGUUUUAGUUUUAGUUUUACCACUUAUGUAGGAUGUUUUAAAGAAUUGAUAGUAACGAGUUAUAUAACAACUUAAUUCUUCGUGAGAUUAUAACUGUGUUCAAGAUCAUCUUUUUGAGAUUAUAAAAGUUCAAGUUCAUCUAUAUAUAUAAAGCAAAAGGCAGAGAAUGGUGAAACAUUCAAAAUACCAGAAAAUGCCAUUUGUUAAUUCAAACAUUAAGAAUUGAAAUUAUUAAUUAAAUGAGGAUAAUAUGGUAAAUUCACAUUUUUUAAUAUUAAAAAAAUUAAAAUUAAAAACAAAAUAAGAUAAUAGGUCCUACUUUUAUGGAACACUAGCCUCUCUGCACGCGCUUCCGCGCAUGCGAGAGGUUUUUUUUAAAAAAAAUGGAAUUGAAUUUUAUGAUCAAUUAAGGAGAUGGAUAGGCAUCCGCCACACGAUACUCACUCCUGAUCGAUGGCCUUCUUUUGCGACGAAUUCUGUUGCAUACACCAUAUCGGGCCAGCUCCACAUGAUGCUCAUUCCAAGCAUAGCAAGCUGUUGGUGAAAUGAUCGUGCACUACGUGCAGUGCCCGGUAUUUAGUGUGGUUCAUCUUACAGUGGGCUUCGNNNNNNNNNNNNNNNNNNNNNNNNNNNNNNNNNNNNNNNNNNNNNNNNNNNNNNNNNNNNNNNNNNNNNNNNNNNNNNNNNNNNNNNNNNNNNNNNNNNNCGAGAGUUGGACGUUUGAGGAGAGAGAAAGAAAAGAGAGAAAACUGUUGCUGUACUAAAUAUGAAAUACUCACCAUCAGCGCCUUAGCCACCGAGAAGAAGACAUCUUCCCACGGUCUGGACCCUUGUUUCACUUGAAUCCGAUAAUGGAUAUUUGUGUUCCAUAAAAAUAGGACCCAUUAUCUGAAUUUUCUUUUAAUUUUAAUUUUUUUAAUACGAAAAAUUGUGAAUUUACCAUAUUAUCCUCAUUUAAUUAAUAAUUUCAAUUCUUAAUGUUUGCAUUAAUCAAGGGCAUUUUCUGGUAUUUUGAAUGUUUCACCAUUCUCUGCCUUUUGCUUUAUAUAUAUAGAUAACUACCCUGUUAUCUUUUAUUAAUUCUAAAAAUAAAAUAAAAAAGAAAAAAAAAACCAAUUGGCACAUGCGUGAGCAUGUGUCAAGGGGCUAGUAUAAGAUUAGAGAACAAGUUAUUUAAAGGCAAGGUUUCUGCUUUUGGCACGAUCUUUCACUUCCUCCCAUGUUUUAUAGGCAGUUUCUCCACGAUCUUUCUGUUUCCCCCAUGUUUUAUGGGCAGUCUGUUCUGUAUUUAUUGUUGGGCUGCCAUCAGUCUUGUCUACUUCGAGUUUUCCUUUGGCAUUUUCUUGUCUCUUGUUUGGCAUACUCAGUACCUUCUUCUUCUACUUCUUCUCUACAUCUUACUGAUGCAAAACAGGACGGGCUUGUUGUUGAUUUGGCCACCUUGAGGAUCUCCGCUCUAACUAUUGCUCUUGUUUGGUGGGCAAAUUAGCCACUGAUCGUCCUUUUCGUAAAGAGAAUUUCCAGAGUACCAUGUUUCGCCUUUGAAAUUUGCUCGAGGGUUAGUGAUCCAUGAGGUUGAUGACAAUCGCUUUCUCUUUCAUUUUUGUUAUGAUGAGGAUCACCUACGGGUGUUGGCUAUGGAGCCUUGGUCUUUCAAUCGUAUUUUGCUGAUCCUAGCCCUUACUGAUGGUGCAACACCCGUUCUUGAAAUCCCUUUGCAUACUUGUUCUAUGUCUAUUCUUGGUAUGACAGCCACCAUGGCUAAACUCAUUGGUAACCGGUUUGGCACUUUUUUGGAAGUUUCCACUGAGGAUGCUGGUGAUUGUGUGGGACGAACUUUACGUUUUCGGGUUCGCUUUGAUAUUUCUCAGCCUCUUAUGCGGUAUGAAUAUCUAUUUUAGCCGCAAUAGCCCUAGUUGGGUGGAAUUUACCUAUGAACGAUUACCUGCAUUCUACCAUAAUUGUGGACGCCUCUUGCAUGGUACUAGGGAUUGCUCUCACCCUUCAACAUCUGAAAGUUUGAGAAGGGAAACCUUAUGGUAUUUGGAUGAAACAUUCUUUUGACUCUUAUCCACACGAGCCUUCAUGUAGUGGUACUCGGAGAGGACUAUCUUCCUCACUGGAACCUCUUGACCAGGAUGGUUGUUCGGAGCUGAUAAUUCAAGCCGAGGUGCAACAUGCAGAUUCAGGGGAGCAGUUGCAAACAAUUGGUGGCUCUCAGGUAGUUUUUCCUUUGAAAGUGGUUGAACAACAGUUGCUUUUGCCAUCUCAUCAAGGACAGUUGCGCAUCUUUGUCUCUAAUACUCCUGAUCUAGUGGACAAUAUGGCAAUUUUAACUCUAGCUGCUGACUCCCAUCCAGGAAGGUUUUCUGGCAAAUCCUAUUUGCCUACUCACGUUUUAGUUUUUUUUCUUCUUUAUAAAAUGAUAUUUUAAACUAUUCUAAUGUACGAGAAAGGGAAUCGAACUCAAGCGCAAGAAGGUGAUCGUACUACCCCAACUAGCAAUACAUGUAAUUUCAUUAAAAAGAAAAUCAAAUCGUAUUCACCCCUGCAGCGUGUUAAUAUUUAACCAUUUGUCCAGUUGACAUAUUUAUGGAAUUGUACUAAACUACAAGAAUUAAAAAUGCAAUUGGGCAUUUUGUUCAUCUGGAUUGUUAAGAGAUUAUCAGUAACUAGUGCCUGGCCUAAUUGUUCAACCCACCUCUACUAAAAAAGAACCACACAAACAAAAAUGAAAAUUCGUUGUCUGAACACUGCAGUGAAUAACAAAAUAAGAAAUUAAGGUCAAGGUUCAUAGUUGUGAACAAGAAAUUAAGCUGCUUCUUGAGGCUGAGCACCUUGACUCCUUCUGUCGCUAACUGCUCCCUUAGGUUUUUUUGAAGCCUUCUCAAACUUAUUCCAUCUAUAACACACCUAAUGCCUCUAAUCCCCCAAAUACAAACCGAUACACCCGAAACACAACCUCCACUCCAACUCAUAAAGAAGGGCUUCUUCUUAUAAUAAAAUUCACUCACCACCACCUACACUUGAGUUCUCUUUUUGGUUUGUAACUUUAAUUAACUUUGAAUUGAAUUUUUCUUUAGAUUGUGAAUGCUUGAGAAGUUGAGGUUGAGGUUGUGAAUUUAUAUAUGCUUGAGAAGUUGAGGUUGUGAAUUUAUAUUUUUUGGUUAAAGUAUGCUUGAACUCAAAAAGCUUCAAAAGAAGCAUCAAACCUAGGCUUAGAAGUGUAGAAGAUUGAAUUUUUAUGACACAAAAAGACCACACUUAAAAUCUAAAAUUGUCUAAUUUAGGCCCAAAAUAUUCAAAUCGGUUUAAACCGUUAAUUCACGGUAACCGACCGAUUUUUGCGGUUUAACGCAAUGCGGUAAACCGCAAAAAGCAGUUGGUUUGCGGUUUUAAAAAUCACCUUACUGCAAAUAGUCGAUCCUUUUGCGGUUCGGAGAAAAAGCGGUUCAGAGAAAAAUUCGCGGUUACCAAACCACAACCACCCCUACGAUUUUCAUAGUUUGACUAUUAAGUUUUCUAUUAAACGAUGACGUGGUAUUCAUAGAAUUCACACAUUGCUACACAAAGUUUUUUUUUUCGUCUUAAUCUUAUACAGGGACGGACCUAAGACAUGCUAACCUACGUUAUAGCCCAUAUGUCUUGAUUUUUUUAACCCAAAAUUAAUAUUCACUCAUCAACGCUCAUGCACUCAAACCACCUUUGCUCAUCUAACAGUUGAUUUUUAAAAAGUUAUACUCACACUCAUCAUUGAAGUUGCUCCAACUACUCAGCAUGAUUCGAUAUUGUUUGUGCAAUUAAUACCUAUGGCAAUUUUUAGAAAAUUAAUAUCAAAGAUCAAUUGCCAGUGGCGUCCCAGCUACCAUGGGACACAUGCAACACAUGCAAACAUCAUUAAAGCUAAGGACAAUCAAGAAAUAUAAAUCUCUGCAUGCAACACAUGCAAUGAUGUCUGAGUCUGUGAGGUAGCAUCAACCUCAUGCCUUGUUAAAUCUGUGUAUGUACAUAUAUUGAGUGUCGAACCAUCCCAUCCCAAUUUACAAAUUUGCAAAUGCCAUCCAUCCCAUCCCCUCACAUAUGUGAUUUUGAGAUUCAAUUUUCCCUUAGAGGUAUGAUAGUCUAAUUGCUUAUACUUGCUUCUUGGCACGAACCAUUUGAUGUUGUAUGGAGCCUAUGAACAAGUGGCACAUAAUUCACUGGUAUUCUGAGCAAGUGGCACAUAGAAAACUUUCCCUUUUCUAACAAGUGCAUUUUAUUUUAUUUUUAGUUACAUCGAUAAGGGGGAGGGGGCACAUACUCUUUGGGAUUCAAAAGUAGGUCAUUGGGGGGGGGGGUUGGAUUGGCUAAUAAAUGGGCUAGGUGGUUGUUGUUUUACACAGACACAUAUUAUACAUAGUGAUAUAUAUAUAUAUAUUUCGUCCUCUUCUUAUGUUAUGUGUUAUGUGCAGGAGGAGCAUUGGAUCCACUAAUGGAUCAACCGUCUCUAUAACUUAUGUGACG
rnacentral:lncRNA from 1 species